rnacentral:lncRNA from 1 species
AAUCCAUACCAUAGGGACGAUAGUUACUUUUUAUCUUUGACUUUAAAUUAUUGUUAUUCCCUGUGUCAAAUAUCGAAUCCCCGAAGAAAAACACGGCCGGUAUGGUUUUGUUUUCUGGCUUAGGUGGUAAUGGGGCAGGUGGGCUAGGUUUUGGUUUUGGCGAUGGAGCAGGUGGGCUAGGUUUUGGUGACGGGGCAGGUGGUGGUACAGGUUUCGGAACUGGACUAGGUGGUUUAGGUGGUGGCGGUGAUGGGCCUGGCUUUGGUGAUGGAGCAGGUGCUGGUGGUGGCUUUGGUUGCGGCUUUGGUGGUUGAGGUGGGCAUGGAGACGGGGCAGGUGCUGGUGGUGGCUUUGGCUGAGGCUUAGGUGGUUUGGUUGCGGCUUAGGUGGUGGGCAUUGAGAUGGACCAGGGGCUGGUGGUGGUUUUGGUUGAGGCUUAGGUGGUAUUGGUGGACAUGCCGAUGGACCAGGCGCUGGUGGUGGCUUUGGUUGCGGCUUAGGUGGUAUUGGUGGGCGUGGAGAUGGGCCAGAUGGUGGACCAGGAUUUGGUGAUGGGCCUGGUGGUGGGCCAGGUUCUGGUGGUUCCAUUGGCCAUGGAUACGGCCAAGGCAUUGAUGGCCAAGGUAUUGAUGGCCACGGCCAGAGCCGUCGGUGGACUACUUGGGCAUGGGACGUUGUCACAAAGAAGAUACAAAAGGAUAUGAGAAAGACAACAAAACGAAAUAGUAUCGAACAAGAAUGGACCAUAGAAGAUUGCUUCAUGCUUUUACUACAAGUAGUAGUAAGACAACUUCCAUUCAAGCGAUUUCAACCGUCAUGUCAAUAUGAAUAUCAAUCUGCGUGUGCCUAUGUAUAUAUAUUCAUUACGUAAACUAGGGCAUGCAAUUUAUGUGGCCGUGUUGGAGAUGCUUGUGUGACACGGCUUCUCAUCACACAUUUUGAGACCUACAUUAUAUUCCAUUUCUAGUCGGAACUUAACUCUCUUAAGUAUCUUUCGUGACUUCUCGGAACCUAACUCUCGCUUAAGUAUCUUCAGUAUCUAGAGAUUAAACACAAAAGAUAUCAUCAAUUAAUUUGAUUUUUGGAGUUAGGGUUAUGGCAAUGUAAUAUAGUUUCCCACACAAGACACAACUUAAAAUCAAUAAUGUAUAUGUGACUGUGUCUUAGGGCGAAAAGUUGGGUUGGCCAUUUCAAAGAUUGAUGGGCUUUUAAUAUGAUUUUAAGUUUUUAACCUUUAGUUAUAAAUGGAGUUCGCCCUAACCUCCCAGACACGAGUUUCGAGGUUCAGCCUAGAUCCAUGGCCUCUGGCGCCGGCGACGCGUUUUCUCGCCGGCUCUGGACAUCUGCGUCGAGUAUACUUUUCUCCGUCACUCUCUACUUCAUGUUUCAUUGUGCUAUCUGCUUGUUACCGGUUCGAUUUCUUUGGCUAUUUGGAGGAAGGAGGUCCCGACAGACGCUACGACGAAGACGAGAGCUUCGAAUCUUCGCCGUGCUGCUACGUGCGGUCCUAUCCCUUCGUUUGGUCCUUCUUCCAGCGAUGAGUCGAGAGGAUUCUCUCGCCGCCGCAAAGCUCUGGUCUUCGGGUUUAUAUCCUGUCGUACUUCUCUCUGGCGACUUUGCCCAAGCCUUUCAACUGCGUAUGGAGCAUCGUUCUCAACUGAUGAACUCAACCUCUUCAUCUUCGGAGAGGUGCGAGUCCCACCAACCACCGUGUGCUGCUCCUCCUCAUCUAAAGGGCGCCAGAUCUUACAGUAUCACGAGUCCAGAUCCGAAUCUACUCGGUGAAACUCCAAUCUCUCCAUCUUGUAAAGUGAUGCUCUAUUCUCCUCCGGGUUGUCUACGAGACGGUGGUAGUUUUCCUCUCCGGCGAAGCUCUUCCGGUGGCCACUCUGUCGGCGCCGAAGAACAUCUUAGAUCCAAAGCUUCCCGGCUCGUACGGACAACGUUCACUGAGCUGAUGUCUCUUAAUGAUUGGGCAUGGCCCAUUUGUUUGAUGAAGCUAGUCAGCCUGCAAAGGCCCAGUCCCAUAAAAGAAAAUUCGACCCAAAUUUCAGUGGCUUUCCAUGCUUGGGUCAGUGUUUCAAAGAUUUCCGGUGGGAUCUCUCCUUGCGAUAUAUUUUCAUAUAUGUCCAAUGGGAUGAAUUUACUGGUGAAGUCACCAGUCUCGGUUCUAUUUCAAUCAACCUCUUCUGAGGAUAAGGUUUCACCAUCAUGCCCUCUUCCUAUGGAUAGAGGUGUCUCCUCGGACUCGUUUCCGAGAGUCUGUUUCAGUUCUCUCAUCGGUUUGUUAUCUUGUGGAGCGGUCUCUACGGGACCUGAAGAUGCAAUCGAAACUACCUUGGUAGUUUUUGUAGAUGAGGUCAGGACUUCAACGUCACUUUAUGUGACUAUAUUCUAGUCGUCAGACUUUGUUGUGAAGGUUCCUUCGACGCAUUCAAGCAUCGUCUUGAAUUCGCUGUCAUCUUCGGUUGAAGAUCUAUCUUGCUUAGCUUAUAUAUAUGUUGUAGUUUAUGCUUAUUGCUAAAGAGGAUGGAUAAUUCUCUCUUUCUAUUGUAGUGAAGAAGUUUGAGUAUGAAUGAAAGUAAGUUUGUGUUCAAAAAAAAAAACCUUUAGUUAUAAUUCUAUUUCAGCCAAUCAAUCUUAUCUCUUUGUAAUUCGAUUAAGUGAAACAAGAAGGAUAAUGGAUUCUGUUUAUUGAAUUGAAUCAUCACAUAAACAAAAAGCGUAGGUCGUUAGAAGAAAUUCAACAGCAUUUUUACAUUUGAUUUAUUUAAUUAGGCGCAGCUUCUAUAUUUUCAAAGAGGAAAAAGUUUCAAUGAUAUUUUUUUAAUUGCCCUAUAAAUUAAGCACUCAUCUUUUUUUAAUUCCUUGUUCCAUGUUAAUAUUAUACGUAUCAUACCAUAGUCAGGAACUGAAACAUUAUACCAACUAAUGUUCCAAAAAAUACAUUAAACCAAAUGAGUUACAGCUUUUAUUUAGCCAAAUCAUAUCAUCAACGGAGACAUCUUAAAUCUACAUUUAUUUGUCAUAAAAAGGGCUCAUGUCAGUCUCUACAAACUUUUUGGUUAAAAUUCUAUAAGCUCUUUCCGUUGGAUGGUAACUGUCCCAAAACAUAUAAGAAGAUACAUUGCUGCAAAGAAGUGAUGUAAAUUGGUUGCAAAGCGGGCCUAAUUCGACCAUCCCUGUCCCGCAACAUCCUCUAUCAAUCUCAUCAAAUCCUGCAAAAUUCCCCACCAAAAAUGAGAAAAAUAAUAAUAAUCUUAAGCUCGUUCACACACAACAGUAGUUACCAUAUUCUUUGGGGUUUUGGAUCAUAUGAGCGAAGAGAGAGUAGAUAUCAAUAUACACCAAAGUGGCGUUUUUCAAGGUCUCGGCUACUGAAUGCAAACUUCUGGAGAGUUUGGUAUUGAAAAGCUGAGCUGCAACGUUUAUUUCAUCAAAACACUUUCUCUUAAGUCCCCCUCUUGCGGUUCUUUGUAUCGGUAUACACCCGAUUGGCGAAACACCAAUGAAUCCUAUCUUUCUUGCUCCAGAUUCAUAUAGUUGCUGCCAAAUUUUGAUCACUCUAUGUUCAUCAGGUUUUACUUUAUCUGGCUCAUAUAAUUUUCAAAUUUCAACAUACCAUAGCGAAACUUGAAGCAGAGCUAGCCAUAUAAGAGGUAUAUGCAUCGAUGUCAUAUAAUAAUUCUUCUGCAUGUGUACCAUAGUAUGUGUUAGCUAGAUCAUCGCUACCCGCAAUCACAAUGGCUAGACUUUUGGAUAUUAUGUGCUCAGCUUUCUCUUUUCCCACAAAGCCUUUUACUUUCUCUAUAUAUUCUUGAAAAUAUGUCAACUGGUUUGACAUCGGUAUUGCGCUCUUAGGUAUAACAUUGGUAACACAUGAAAACAAAAAUGUUAUCAAAUGAAAUUAGGUUUUAAAAUUAAUUAAUUAAGGAGAGGUAAUUCGAAAGGCGAAGGAUAGUCCGAAGUUAUUACUACAACGAUAGGUGUCAAAGGAUCGAAGCCAGAACCACCCGAAGCAAAUGAUACACCAGUGACGAGAUCUUCAUGGGUUAGCCCUGGCUUCAAGUAUGGCGGUAAAGUUGGUUUUACUCCUAAAAAUUCCGCUGUGAAAGUAAAGACCAAAAAGAUCAAUUUUAGUAAGAAUGUUUCCACUGAAAAUACAAAAAAAUAUUGAUUUUUUAGCUGACGCGAUGCCAUCUUUUCUUGAUAAUCCAGGUAUCCGGACCUAAGUCCGACUAUCCCACCGCGUCCAACCGGAACUGGAGGGUUCUGGCGGCCAAACGGAAACCAUGUUAAAUCCGCUGUGGCCGGGCCUCGAACUCGUAUAGGAACCUCGGCUGAGGUGCCCGCCAUCACGAGUUCGAGGCCCGGCCACGCGAUGCCAUCUUACGUAGGUUUUUUUUUGAGAAUGAUCUUACGUAGUUAUGAUGAAAAUAUUUUACGUAUAAGUUUAUGUAUUAAUAAUUUCUAUUUUUAGACCAAUAAAACCAAUCCAAAAUUUUAAGAUAUGAAAUGGAACAAAGUUAGUGAAAAAGGCAAAUAGGGUCGUCGUUACUGUGCGAGUAACAAUCAUUAGAUAUGAUCUUCUUUGUUUACUAAGCUUCUUUGUUAAAUAUUUUUCUAUGGAUUUUUUUCAACUUUAUUUUGUUGCAUAUUUUUCAAACUUUUGGGUGAAAAUCCAUAUAUUGUAAAAAAAAAAAGUUAUUUAUGAUUAAUUUGAAAAAAAAAUCUUAAGUAAAAAAAUGUACUAAAAGUAAAGGCAAAGUCACCUAUAAAAUCAGCAGGGAUCUUGCCAUUGCAAAAUCUACCGGUGGGAAGUCCGUGUGGAAAAUUCAUGCCAUAGGGGGGAAAAAGCAGGAAUCUUGCCAUUGCAAAAUCUACCGGUGGGAAGUCCAUGUGGAAAAUUCAUGCCAUAGGGGGGAAAAUUAGCUUUGACUAAUGUUGAAAUGUAAUCGUUAUUUCCUGUGUCUACGAUUGAAUCACCAAAUGCAAAGAUCGCAGGAAACGUCGUGUUACGUGUCCUAGGGGGCGCUGGUGUCGGAGCUGGCCCUGGACUUGGACUUGGACAUGGACAUGGCUUUGGCUCUGGAGCCGGGGUUAGCCCUGGACUUGAAGAUGGCUUCGGCUUUGGACUCGGUUGUGGAACCGGGGCUGGCCUUGGACUCGGCUCUGGAACUUGCUCUAAGCGUCUAGCUGAGGCAACGAAGAAGAUAAAAAAGAGUGGGAGGAACAAAACACAUCGAAAUAGUUUGGAACAAGAAGGCGAAACAACAUUAUAUUUCAUCAUAUUGGUUAUAUGUUCUUACACGUCUGAUAAGGAAAAAAAAAGAACUUGUUACGAAGCUCCGGAAUAUAAAGGAGUGUAAGACAAAAAAAAUAGUAUAAGUGUCUCUAUUCAGAUAAAAAUAAAUUGCGGACACAAGCAUGCGGUUUUGAUGGUUACAAGAAGAAGAAACUUGUCUUCUAUGGCUUCUUCUCAUUCAUUCACACAUUCCGAACUUUCCUGAUAUUCCGUAAUUCAUCACUAGUCUCACUCUCGUUUUGCAUUAUUUUAAAUACACUACUUCAACACUGUUUCUAUCCAAAAGAAAGUAAGAAAAUACAACAUGCUUCCAUUUACUAUUUAGAGAAAAUUAAUUGAAUGUAUAAGAAAAGUUGGUUUAUUACUAUAGUGUUAAACAUCUUUUAAAAAUUACUAAAAUGUUUAGACACCCAUAGUAAAUGACUGUAAGGACCUUUGGUUAGUUUUUUUUUAAUUAAAAUUAUUUUUAAACAUUAAAUCCACAUCACUAAUUGAAAUUAUACAUCAGCACAAUAGAAACCAAACCGUCUCUUCUCCAUCUAACUACAUCGAACUUUAAAAAAAAACUAACUAAGAACAUUGUCUUUGUCGUCUCGAAGAAGGAACCGCGAGAUACUCAUCGACAUUGUCUGUGUUUACUUCCUCUUCGUCGAAUUAACUCUCUGUCGUGAUACUCUGUUUUCUCUGUUAUCAUUGUGCAUCGUUUGUACGAAAUCGUCUUCGCCGCAUUCUUAUCUACGAGUUCGUCUUUUCCGGUAGGAUAUCGCAACGUUAUAUAUUGUGUUUUGGUUGAGUUUGUGGGUCAGUUAUGUAUUAUAUUUCACCUGAUUUAUAUUUUGUUGCGACUGAGAUAGGGUUAUGUUGCGGCUGUGAUAUGGUUUUGUUGCGUCUGAGUUAGGGUUUUGUUGCAACUGAGUUAGGGUUAUGUUAUGGCUGAGUUAUCAUUGUGUCAUGAAUAAGUUAAUGUUAAGAUGGCUGAGUUACUUUUAUGUUGUGGCUGAGUUACUAUUUUGUUGUGACUGGGUUAUUCAAACAUUUUGUGGCUGGGUUAUCACUGUGUCGUGAAUAAGUUAAUGUUAUGUUGUGGCUGAGUUAUUGUUAAGUACGGAUGUGUUAUUGUUUUCUUGUGGCUGAUUUAUUGUUGAGUUAUAUGAUCAGAUGGAUGCUGCUGAAGUUAAAUCAGAGGAUUACCCUCCAAGACUUUACCCUGAAGGGUCUUCUAACCUAGAAGGUAAAGAUAUUAAUCACAAUUUCCAUCCAGGACAUUUCCCCCACGUUAGAGAAACAAUAGGACUUGAUGUGUGGGAAGAAUUGGUGAACUCUCCCAUUGGAGUAGUUGCUAGGCUAGCUGGACGCGAAAGCAUGUGGUCUGGUAGGACCGUGCACUAUCUACUGUGUAGACAGCUGCGAGUUCUAAAGAAGGAGAUAUGGUGUCUCGUGGCUGAUGAGGCCAUCAGGUUUAGCUUGCUCGAGUUUGGUGAGAUCACUGGGCUAAACACAGGUCCAUUGCUAACAGAAAAAUUUGAUCCUGAUCAAUACAACGCGUUUUGGGGGGAGUUGAAGGUGCCGCUUGGGAUGGAACCCAAGUUAGAUGAACUGAAGGCAGCAUUAGAGUUAUGUCUGCUUUGGAGUUUUGAAAAGCGUAAGUGGUUGGGGCUGCUACUUCUUCAAGCCAUGGGAGUCUAUUGUUUGCAUCACAAUUCAAAGAUACCCUUUCAAAGUGCAAUAAGGGUAUUCGACGAUGAAGCCAUGAGGUCGUAUCCAUGGGGUCGGACUGCAUACGAAGUUCUGAUUGACUCUAUUAAAACGUUGGCUCCAGAAGGAGGUUUUUACACAAUAAGCGACAUGAAGGACGCGUUAUUGAUUUGGGCAUAUGAAUCCGUCGCCUGCUUCGGUGAGAGUUUUGGGAGAGUGAUCAAUAACGAAGACGUUCCGCUUUUGCGAUGGGGUGGAAAGCGUACACGUGCAAGUUUUGAUAAAUUGUUGUCUGCCGAAAUCAAAGAGCAUGGCGAGGUAAGGUUUGGUGGCUGAGUUAUGAGUUACUUAAUGGCUGAGUUAUUAUAUUUGAUGGCUGAGUUAUUGUUAUUUAAUGGCUUAGUUAUUAUAUUUGAUGGCUGAGUUAUGAGUUACUUAAUGGCUGAGUUAUGUGUUAUUUGGUGGCUGAAUUAUUUUAGUUGAUGGCUGAGUUUUGUGUUUGUUUGGAGGCUGAGUUUUGUUAUAACCUUGUGUUGCAGGUGCGUGUGAGGAGAAUGGUUUUGAAGGACUCAAUUGUUGGUGUUGGGGCCGAAAACGGUUACGACGAAGUUAACGUCCAAAUCCCCGAAGAAGAAAAAUGUAGAAAAGUUCUUCGACAAAUACUUUUUCGAAAUAGAUUCUUCUUUACGAAAAGCUUUGAGUUUACUUUUUAGGGUUUAGGGUUUAGUGUUGAUAGUUUAGGGUUUAGUGUUGAUGGUUUAGGGUUUAGAGUUGAAGUUUAGGGAAACGCGAGUCAUCGGACAAGAGCCCGAAAAGGAUCGUUAUGCAGCGACAAAACACGUGCUCCGCUCGGUCGCUACGUAGCGACCGAGUUCGAGCCAAGGCUCAGUCGCUACGUAGGGACCGAUCGUCCAUUCCGCUCGGUCGCUACGUAGCGACCGAGCUCGAACCGAAGAUCGGUUGCUACGUAGUGAUCGAGCGCUCGGUCGCUACGUAGCGACCGAGCUCUUCCCGAAGAUCGGUUGCUACGUAGUGAUCGAGCGCUCGGUCGCUACGUAGCGACCGAGCUCUUCCGCACAUAGUCCAUGCGUUCUCGUCUACCCUUCGAUGCUAUCUCCCGAAGACCGUAGCGAACCCAUUUCACGAUUCCCCGCCAUUCUAAGUUAUCGAUCAAACUUUACCGUAAAAACCGCGGAAAGUUCGUUCUUUAUCGAAAGAAGCCGUAGUAAACGCUUCGAGUCGGAAGACGGCCCAAAGGGACCUAAGACAUGACUCGAGGCCCAACUUACGAUUUCUUAACCAACAGCCCGUAAGCCGCAUGACGGUUUACGCUUGGUUCGCAAGGAAAGAUAAAUGUCAAGUUUUCGCGGAUAAAUACAAAAUUUUGAAGAUAAUUACGAAGAUCGGAAAAAAUGGAAUAACUCCAUUUUUAUCCUAUGGCGGCUUAAGGGCAGAAGGGGAAAAGCAUAAACCGACCUUGGAGCCAGUAUAUAAGGAGUCCUUGGCGAGAGGCAUGGGAGAGGACUUUACACAGCAAACUUAGCACUUAGAGCGAUUUUAGGCAAUUUUCCGUUUUUGUUAUUCGAGCUGUGACUCAAUUAGGUUUUUGCCGUCUUAGGGUUUUAGAACUAGGAAUCUCGCCGACAGCUCUCGUAGCCCAGGCACUUACCUUGUUGUAAACGCUCAAACGCAGAUUCAGAAUAAGAACUAUCUUGCUCUCUUUUUUUAUUUCUUAUUUUAUUACUGUUCUCGUUUCGUGUUCUGAUUGCUUGGCGUGUGGUAUUAGCAGAUAUCCGGGACCUCUGGGAAAUUAGGGUUUUCCUAGUUUUCUUAUUUAAACGGAAAUCGACAGUGCAAAUUUUGGUUCCCAUAGUUUGGCGCCAGAAGGAGGGGAGGUAUGGAUCAAUCUAACUCUCAACCACAUCACCCUCAACCAGACAUGUUAACUGAAGGCACGGAUAACAUGCAGAUUCCUCUUAACGGAGGCAGCGGCACUGAUCUCCACACUCCCGCAGUGGAUGUAUCCGCGGCCAACGCACCAGCCAACGCCGCGGCGAUCGAGGAGUUUAAAAAGAUGUUCGCCACCUACGAAAAAAGGUCGGAAGAACAGGAUAAGCUCGUGAGAACCUUGACCAAACAAGUUGAAACUUUAAUGGCAAGGACUCGAGCAAUCCGCCCCCGCGGGACAACUAAAGUCCGCGGGAAAAGACUCGACUUUGCAACCCCACUCAACAGGCCUGGAGCCGCGCAUGAACGACCUUCGGGUCAAAACCCUAGCGAGAAAUCUCCCGUCGAAAAGAGAAACUCCAAAAGCCCUCCGCCUCCCGCGAAGGUUUCAGAGGACAACAGAGUCGAGCAAGUCGACCUGGAUCGUAGCGAUGUCUCCAACAAUACUGAUGAGGACGUCGACAGACAUCCAAGGAGGACCAGAAGACCAGAAGCCGAUUCACUCGGGAAAGCUCUCCGUUCGACAAACCAAUGACAGAAGAGGAGGAAAUCCUCUAUUGGAACGAACAAGAAGAGCUGGCUGAAAAACAAACCGAGCUCACUUGCAGUAAACGCCGACAAGCGCGGAAAUCUGCUGACAAACGUCAGAUAUACGCGAUCUUCGCGACUAUAUCACCAAGACUGCGGCAGAAUUAAGAGCCGUAAAAUCCCAAAUUCAUCACGCUACUAGCGCGGCUCCCGAGAUCGACAGGCUGCUGGAAGGGGCUCGGAAGACCCCUUUCACCGCUCGCACCUCAGAUACGAGGGUAUCCGAUCCAGGAAAAAUUAAAGUACCGAAGUAUGAUGGUACGACCGAUCCAAGAGCGCACCUUCAGGCUUUCCACAUCACGAUGGGAAGAGCGAGGCUGAAGGACGGCGAGAGAGACGCCGGCUACUGCCGCCUGUUCGUCGAGAAUCUAGAAGGAGCAGCCCUCGAAUGGUUUGCGCGCCUUAAGCGAAACUCUAUCGGGAGUUUCCGACAGCUCGCAUCGGAAUUUCUAAAGCAAUACUCUAUGUUCAUAGAUAGAGAAACUUCCGAUGUCGAUCUCUGGAGUCUGUCCCAGAUGGAAGAGGAACCCCUCCGCGAGUUAGUCAGCCGAUUCAAGUUGGUAAUGUCCAGGGUCAGCGGGAUAAGCAACAAGGUGGCCAUCGAUGCGCUCAGAAAGGCGCUCUGGUACAAGUCGAAAUUCAGAAAAUGGAUAUCACUCGAAAAACCGCGGACGAUCCAAGACGCCCUCCACAAGGCGACGGACUACAUCAUGAUCGAGGAAGAAACGAAAAUCUUAUCGCAAAAACAUAAUUCGGCGAGAUCGUCCUCAAAAGAUGUAGACCCAAAAACGAGGAAGAAGAACCCUCGUAACAACAAGUAUGUCCAUCACGAGGGGGAAGAACUCCAAGGAGCGCACAAUUACGCGAUCGGCUCAGACCAGGGCCGAACCACGGGUAAUACAUGGACUCGCAAUCAAGGAUAUGAUGAAAACACCUUUUGCGAGUUCCACCAGUCCCGAGGACACUCCACGACAAACUGCAAGAUCUUGGGAGCAAGGCUGGCCGUGAAGCUACUAGCCGGAGAACUCUCGGAAGUGACCAGCAUGAAAGAUCUCAUCCUCGAGACCGAUCGCCCCCCGAAACCGGACAGAAAUCUUCCCACGGAGAGAUCCCCAAAAAAACCAAUCUGGGGAUAAACGCGGCAGGAGGCCAGACGACAAAGGGAACGAUAACAAUCGUCGUUGAGUCAACCUGAUCAUCGGAGGAUCGCAAUUCUGCAACGAUACGGUUUAGGCCAUAAAGGCUUACCAGCGGAAGGCGGAGUCAAGCGAAAACUGGCCUACAUGGUCUCCUACCCGAGAUGAUCAGAACUGCUCAAUCACCUUCACAACGGAGGAAGCCGGCGGGAUCGAUCAGCCUCACUGCGAUCCGCUCGUCAUAGACCUCGUCAUACGAGAUCUGGAUGUCGGAAGAGUACUCAUUGACACGGGAAGCACGGUCAAUGUAAUCUUCUGCGACACUCUCAAUCGGAUGAGCAUCAAACUCGGAGAAGUAACUCCAACUCUGAAACCGCUCACAGGCUUUUCGGGCGAAGUAUCGAUGACCCUUGGAUCGAUUCAGCUACAAGUCAUGGCCAAGGAGAUCACAAAAAUCGUCGAGUUCGCGGUAGUCGAUCAUCCUGCCAUCUACAGCGUGAUCAUGGGAACCCCAUGGCUCAACGCUAUGCAAGCCGUUCCAUCGACGUACCACCUGGGCGUCAAAUUCCCGACCACAAAAGGAGUCGCAGCUAUCUGGGGAUGCCAGAAACAGUCGCGACUGUGCUUCCUCGUGGAACACAAGUUAAGACAGAUGACGACCUCUGCAACGGCAAAUCGUAAACGCACGAAGAUUGAUAAAUCUUCGACCAACAAUGUUCCAAGAAAAGACGAUUUAACAACGUCUGCUGACACAGGCGCUUCGGGUGUCAAAACUCAACUUGAAUCCGAAUCCGACACUACAACUCAACCGGAACAUCCGGAAGAGAACACUGACCCAGCCACGAUCAUCACGAUCAAGCCGGUCAGCACGGCAACAACCGCCGAGUGAAAACACUCGUGGCAUAAAACAGAACUACGAGAUGGCUUGAUCCUCGAAAGGGGUACGUAGGCAGCUCGUCGAAAGACGAGUUCAGCUAUCCCCCUCUCUGAAAAAGGGGGGGGGGGAGUGGGUGCGUAUACUCGUAUACUCCCACAUAGGAAAAGAUGCGUGAUUGUAAUCAAAUUCUAUAGAGAUUUCGAAAAUUUUUACGAUCAAUAUGCGUCGCUCUUUUUAAGAAAAAAUCGCAAAACAAUCUCACUUCAGCACCAAAAAUAUACGUAUAAGUCUUCGAAAUAACUGCGAGACGUCGCCAAGUUAAAAAUCGAGAUGAUACGAACAAAUUGUCCGAACGCGACCACUACAAAUCUUACACUCCGUUCGUCGAUUGGCCCCGAUGAACACAUCAGCCGUCUUAAACAAACGCAACUUGAUCACUCUUUUGAUCUUCAAACGUCCAACACACGGAUGAAAGCGCGCUACAAAAAAAAUCCGAAAUUUUAGUCUAGCACUUCCAGUUGGCUUAAAAAUUGUCUCUGGAAAGAUGCUCGAUUCAUACCAUACAAGUCGUAUAAGCCGAGAACCUAUCGCGGACUUUAAAUCGGUACGAAUCAGGUAGAAAUCGCAACAGGAAAACCGAGAGCCGGCUAGUCACCGCACAAACCUUAAAACCGAGAGUAAACCUAGGUCUUGCCCUAAACCCAUCGCAUUGGUCUCAGACAUCUCAAAGACAUGAUAUCUAAACGAUACGAGAUCCUAAAACAUGUCUCUUCGUUCAUAUCUCAACGUUCCCGAAAGAUCGUAAAUAAUUUUUACGAAAACUCACGUCUCGAACAAACUAACAGAUUGAACGCCUCAACGAAGAUAAAUAUUAGACGACAACUCAUGUUUACUUCAAACCCACUCUAAACAAAGUAACUCAAACAAACAUCCAUUAUAUAAACCGCAUAGUGGUAGGGGUUCAAAGCCACCAACGGUCAGUCCCGACAAAAACGGCCAAAAUAUGCCCAUACAAAGUUCGAAGGCCACACUCGGCCAGACAUAUAUGAACUAGAUAAAGGGAAAAACUCCUUCCCGUCAAAACGCUCACAGAUCAAAGUUAAAAUUCCCGGACAAGGAAGCUCCGAAUGCAUCCGCGGGAAAGUUCACUUCCUCAUCGUCACCGGCAAAAUCAGUUGUAGCUUCUACGGUAUCAGGGGAAACCGGGAUGGGAUCCCUGAAUCUUCCCAUCGAUCGGAGGGAUGGUCGCCUCAGCGUGAGCAUGAUCCUUCAUGCCACCCUUCAUUAACUCCAUCUCCCUCUCGAAAACGUAGUCAUCUUCCUGCGUCUUCCAAAGGUUCCCGACGGAGCCGCGACACUCACGGAAGUCGCCCAGCGAGUUGAAAGCGCCCUUAAGAUUCCCGUACUCAACCUGGAAUUGAGAAGCGCGAGUCUUCAUCACCUCGACGAUUUCCCUCUUGCCCUUCCGUUCCGCCCUACGAACAGCCCUGGCAUGAUCACGAGCGAGUUGAGCGUCUCGCGCCUGCAUCUCGUCUCGCAUGCGAGCAAGAUCCUUUUCCGCCUUCUCCGCUUUAAAGCGAUAGAUCAUGGCCUCUCUAUGGCUCGCCUCAAUGGCCGAUCCAAGCAAGUUCAAACCCUAUAAAACCGAUUGACACGUUAUAAGCAAAAAAUAAUAUUAACGAUCGUCAAAAUUCUUAAAGUUUAUACCCCGUUAAUGAUACGAGAUCCUUCCGCGACAACUUUCGGCCUCUCUGACUCGCUCAUGGCCUGAGGAGCGUCAAAGCCCAACGGAAGACCAGCGAAUAAAUCAUCGAAGUCCGGAAUAGGGACCUCGCUCGUACCGCUUCCAUCGCCGAAAGCAAGGUUCGGAUCCCAUCCUGGAAGCAUGCAAUCGUCCACCGAAAACUCCAGGUCGCCGAGAUCAAUAUCUUUCCCCUUCGAAGAGUUCGGCCCCGUCACAAUCGUGGGAGCGGCGUUGGGACCUUGGUCUUCAGGUUCGGAAUCACUCCUUGUUUCUCCGCCCAAAGCAGGACCAGGAUGCACAAACCUCAGCGCCUUUCGAACUCUCUUUGGCGUAAAGGAAGUCCAGAAAAAAGGACCAUUCCUGAGCAGAUCCCUCAUCGCAAUAAUGUCCUCAGGAAACGGAGCAAGAGGGUUGAUAAAGGGACGAUUAUUUCGGCAACCUCCGAAACAGUGGGAUACAACUCUCCUCAACGGAUGCUGCGUCUACACGAACAAAGAAGAAAAACUUCCUCCACGAGUUGAAGUUAGAAGUGAACCCCUUUACCACUGACAUGAAGUUCCGAGGAACCAGCCUGUACGUGUCCGUGUCCCUGAUGAUCUGUAAUCGAAGAAGCGCUUCGAAGUGAUCGACGGUGAGAGAGAGACCAUGCUCGUAGCUCAGGACCAGGAUCUCUAUGAGGUGAUGGAUGCCAAGAGGAUUCAGUUUGCUUAUCGCCACCCCGAAACGACCCAACACACAGACGAUAAUCUCGGGGAUCGGGAACCACAAACGGCAACGCACUACGAAUGCCUCGUAACAUGUAAAGAAGCCCUCUGGGGGACUACUAGCGCAUUCUUCUUGACGAGGAACCCUGAAUUACACCGCGUCCGAAAUAUGAUAGAACGACCGCAUGACCUCGAGGAAUUCACUAGUACUCCUGCUCGGUGCACCUGCCUCCACCGGGCGAUGGUUCAUGAUCGGGAACGAUUUUUCUUUGGGAGGCGUGAUCGAACCGUAACACGCCACCCACCAUGCCUCGUUCUCGGCUGGGUCUACCGAAUGAGGAACGAAUUCCAUCUUCGGCACUCGAAGCUCUUCAGAAAUGUUCGCGGGCAAGGACCCUUUCUUCGAAAUCCUCUUCUUACUCGACAUCUCGUGUUUUUCUUUUUAAAUCAAGAAGGAAAUGAUAUAGAGAAAGAAAUUUUCAAGAAAAACCUCUCUAUGAGAAUGAGUAAGUGUGAAGUAAGUGUGAAGAUUGUGAACAAGUUACCUCCCUUCUUAUAAGCAUGAGAAAUUACUAUUUACUUGCGGAUUUUUGGACACGAACUUCGCCCAAAUACACCAAUCUCGUCCAAACUCGGCAUACCGCACAUUGGGACCUCGCUAGAAAUCUACGCUCCCAACGAGCUGGGGGGCUAACUGUUGGGGUCGAAAACGGUUACGACGAAGUUAACGUCCAAAUCCCCGAAGAAGAAAAACGUAGAAAACUUCUUCGACAAAUACUUUUUCGAAAUAGAUUCUUCUUUACGAAAAGCUUUGCGGAGGAAACGCGAGUCAUCGGACAAGAGCCCGAAAAGGAUCGUUACGCAGCGACCAAACAUGUGCUCCGCUCAGUUGCUAUGUAGCGACCGAGUUCGAGCCAAGGCUCAGUCGCUACGUAGCGACCGAACAUCCAUUCCGCUCGGUCGCUACGUAGCGACCAAGCUCGAGCGUUCGCCCAGUCGCUAUGUAGCGACUGAGCUCGAGCCGGAACUCGGUCGCCACAUAGCGACCGAGCUCGAACCAAAGAUCGGUCGCUACGUAGCGCUCGGUCGCUACGUAGCGACCGAGCUCCUCCGAAACGUCGAUACCACAUAGUCCAUGCGUUCUCGUCUACCCUUCGAUGCUAUCUCCCGAAGACCGUAUCGAACCCAUUUCACGAUUCCCCGCCAUUCUAACUUAUCGAUCAAACUUUACCAUAAAAACCGCGGAAAGUUCGUUCUUUAUCGAAAGAAGCCGUAAUAAACGCUUCUAGUCGGAAGACGGCCCAAAGGGACCUAAGACAUGACUGAGGCCCAACUUACGAUUUUGUAACCAACAGCCCGUAAGCCGCAUGACGGUUUAUGCUUGGUUCGCAAGGAAAGAUAAAUGUCAAGUUUCCGCGGAUAAAUACGAAAUUUUGAAGAUAAUUACAAAGAUCGGAAAAAAAUGGAAUAACUCCAUUUUUAUGCUAUGGCGGCUUAAGGACAGAAGGGGAAAAGCGUAAACCGACCUUGGAGCCAGUAUAUAAGGAGUCCUAGGCGAGAGGCAUGAGAGAGGACUUUACACAGCAAACUUAGCACUUAGAGCGAUUUUAGGCAAUUUUCCGUUUUUGUUAUUCGAGCUGCGACUCAAUUAGGUUUUUGUCGUCUUAGGGUUUUAGAACUAGGAAUCUCGCCGACAGCUCUCGUAGUCCAGACACUUACCUUGUUGUAAACGCUCAAACGCAGAUUCGGAAUAAGAACUAUCUUGCUCUCUUUUUCGAUUUCUUAUUUUAUUGUUGUUCUCGUUUCGUGUUCUGAUUGCUUGGCGUGUGGUAUUAGCAGAUAUCCGGGACCUCUGGGAAAUUAGGGUUUUCCUAGUUUCCUUAUUUAAACGGAAAUCGACAGUGCGAAUUUCGGUUCCCACAGUUGGCCGGGUGAAGCUGACGACCCUGAACUCGUUAGCUUGAUAACAGACAUUCAUGCAGGUAGAUUUGUGAAAGGUUUUUGGGAAGUGCAGGGGAAUGCAAAGGGGAAGGGGAAUGCGAAGAAGAAGAAAAUGAAGGGUGGAGUUUCGUCAGAAGCUGAGCCACCCACUAAGAAGCAGAAGAAAGUUAAGACACAAAAUGAGUCUGAAGCUGCUGCUGCGGGAAAGGGUUCUAGCGAGAAGGAAUGUACCAAAGAUUUGAAGUUGGAGAACAAAGCGACUCUGACGACCAUUGUGAGUACUCUGGAUAAUAUUUCCAGAAAAAUUGAUCAGAUUGACUCAUGGUUGGAAGCUUACGAGUUAGACAGGACCAGACCAUUGAUGGACCAAAAGACCAUUGAUGACAGGGUGAAAGCUUUACUGGAGGAGCGUCUGAAAGAUCUGGGGGUUGGAGAAACUCUCGAAAACAAUGAUAACCGCUCUCCACCAUUACCAGUGGUUCAAACGCAGCAGAAGUCUGUCAAUAGUCCAGCGUUAGCUGCGACUCCUGGUAAGGUUUUUGGACCGAAGAAGAAUUUGGCCAAGGAGCUUGAUAAGGAAUCAAGGGUGAAAAGGACUUUGGAUGAGGAGUUUGGUAAUGUCGCUAAAGCUACUGAUCUUGAUAGUCAACCUCUUGAUUUCGUAGUAAUUUCUCCAGCAAAGGCUACUAAGGAUGAUAAGGAUGCUAAGGUUCCAGCCUAUGGACGUGGCUGCAGGGGCAACCGUAUUGUUAAGGGUGAGGAAGCCGAUGAGAAGGAAAAAGCAGCGCAGGCAGAUGCUGCGUUUAAGAGGAAGGAGAAGGCUGAGGCUAAGAAAAAGGUGGCUGAGGCUAAGAAAAAAGAUGCUGAGGCUAAGAAAAAAGAGGCUGAAGCUAAGAAAAAAAGAGGCUGAGGGUAAGAAGAAAAAAGAGGCUGAGGGCAAGAAGAAACAAGAGGCUGAGAGUAAGAAAAAAGAGGCUGAAGCUAAGAAAAAGGAGGCUGAGGGUAAGAAAAAAGAGGCUGGGUUAAAGAAGAAACAAGAGGCUGAGCUAAAGAAGCGAAAAUAGGCUGAGUUAAAGAACAAAGAGGUGACUCCAUCUGGAGAGGACAGUGUAUUUGCUGAUGUGACUGGCAAAGUUGUUGGGGGAUAGAACGAAUUUGCGCCGGAGUCUGACGUCGAGGGAUCUGAACUGGUUAGAUCUGCCAUAAUUAAGGAAUAUCGGGAGAAAAGUGUUCAGUUAACUCCAAAAGGGUUUUCAAAGGCGGCAGUUUCUUCACCAGCAGUUUUUCCGUACGUAGGAGAGAAUGGAACGACGUGCAUGAGGAAAAAUGUUACUCCUUCAUCAGUAAUAUAUGACCCUCUGGCACCUGUUGAUCCGGUGCUACUCGAAAAACUGAUGCAACACAUUAAGGGAAUUCCACCCAAGCACCAGCAGAUAAACCAGCAGUCCUCUCCGCUAAUCAUGAGGGUGAUUUCUACAGCAUACUCAUCCAUGAAAGACCGUGGCCGGAAAAGGAAUAUGGAUGGGUGUUUGAUAAUGUAAGUCUUUAGUGCGGCUGAGUUAUAUAUUAAUUUUAUUAUAUUUCGGCUGAGUUAUAUAUUUGAUUACGGCUGACUUACAUAUUCUUUUAGUACGGCUAAGUUAUAUAUUAUAUUACGGUUGACUUACAUAUUCUUUUAUUAUAUCACGGCUGACUUGUUAAUAUUAUUUGUGUAGCAUGUCGUUGCGUAUUUGAACGUCCUCAUUAAAAGGUCCAUGCGAAAUCCCACUCCAUUCUGGUCCAAGCGGAUUGCCUUCGUUAACGUUUGGCGGCAAAGUUUUUUGAUUCACGAUUUCACUCAGUUCAAGAUAAAACCUAGUAUGUUCAAUUUCAAAGGCAAUGGUUAUGAAGAUAUGUUAAAGGGUAAGCUUCCCAAACACUGUCCAACAAACUUAAAGUGGUAUGAAGAUGUGGAUCACUUGUACGGAUGUCUUCAAACCGGCGGAAAUCACUGGGUUGCGUAUCAUGUGGAUCUGAAGAAGGGGAAGAUUGAUUGCUACGAUCCAAUCUUUGGAGAGGCAACACCCGAAAGUGAGCAGAGAAUUCUAAAUUCAUUUAAACCGCUGACGCACAUGAUUCCGUAUAUGUUGAGUGAUCAUAUUCCUACCAAUAUCCGAGCCCCUAGUAAGAAGAAGUUCUCAUUCAGAAGGAGGAGCAAAAGAUACACUCCACAAAACACCCAGAUUGGCGAUUGUGUGGUGUAUUCGUUGAAGUUUGUGGAGUGUCUAGCACUUGGUGUAACGUUUGAUGGGAUAAACGAUAACAAUAUUCAAGGUUUACGGAUGAAGAUGGCAGCAGAGAUCUUCGAUGAAGGAGGAAAUACUGUGAUGAGCAGUUUGCUGGCUAAUUGAACCUGUGUUUAUUAUUUUGUACUUGACAUAUGUUGAUGUUUUGUACUUGACUUAUGUUAUUUUGUACUUUAUUAAGUACUUGACUCAGUCUUAUCGUUUUUAUAACCCAGCCGUUUCGUAUAUGUGUAACUCAGCCUUACCCCAAACAUACCCUAGAAUCGUAAAAUGUUCAUAUAACUCAGUCGUAUCGAUUAGUAUAAGUCAGCCGUUACGAUAUUAUAACUCAGCCAUACCUCAAACAUACCCUAGAAUCAAAAAAAAUUAAAUGUUUAUACUUUAAAAUGUUAAAUUGAAACUCCAAUUAUAAAUUUGAAGUGAAUAUAUAAUCAACUGAAUGUGUCUUCUAUAUUGAAUUUACGAGUUUAGAAUCAAUCAUGAUCUUGAGGUAUAUGUUGUCUUACAAUUACUCAUAAACUUAACUGAUAUAUAUAAGGUGUGAGCAUAACUCAAAACUCAUAAACUAUUAUUGUGUUAUUUAUUAUGAAUUUUUGUUUUUAUAAUAUUUCUUGCACCAUAAAUCCAAAUUCCAAACCAAAAAACCCAAAAAAGCAAACCUAAACCCUAAAUAAGCAACCCUAAACUCUAAACCCCAUUUACUAAGUCAGCCGUAAAUGUUAAAGUAACUCAGCCGUAAAGUGUAACUUAAUCUUGACGUUUGGCGGGAAAAAGAUAACUGAUUCUUGGGAAAUUUUAACUCGAGACGUUUGACGUUCUGUACCUCUCUAUAUAUUGUCUCCUCUCUUACACUUUUCUCUCUCUAGAAAAAACCUAAACAAUAUCUCUAUAUCCCCAUCAAAAGUUAUGCUGAUUGUUCCUGGUUAUUCAACGAUGUUAGAGAACAUUGUCAAUGCGAUACUAAGCUCUGCAAAUCGUGAAAACCUCCCUCUUCUAUACCCUGGUCCGGGAGAAUUGCUUGACACAACCAGUACUAUCUGGUUCAAAUUUUUAAGUGAUCUCUCCCUCGUCAUCCCGUCGAUUCUUGUGGAAGGAUGGGUUCAUGAUUAGCCGACAUACCGCGCCAUUCCCGAUCAUUUUAAGGAACGAUGGUUUCUUCAACUCGCUGUAAGAACAGUUUGUCCACUUAAAAUGGCAGCAUAGCGUCGCUGAGUUAUUUUUAUUUUGUGUUCUCAACAGUUUUGUAUUCUUUUUUGUUGUAGCGCAAAAACACGUGGGAUCGAAGGCAUAAUUUGACACUUUGGACACAUUUUAAUCAUGUGGCCAGAACGCUAUUUCGUUGCCAGAUGCGCCAUUUGAAGAGAACUUGGGCAAACGGAGGCGACAAGCCUCCGUGGAUGUUAACAAGAGUUUGGCGUGAUCUCGUCCACAUAUUUGAAAAGUUUGGUCCUGACAAUUUUGGUUUCUGAAAGUGAUGCCUUGUCUAUAUUUUGAAUCUGAUAAUUUCGGUUCCUGAAUGUAAACAUGUCGAAUUCAAAUUUCUUUUAUAUUAAGUACUAUAACUCAGCCAUAAUGUGAAUAUAAUUCAGCCGUAUCUGCUAAAAUAACUCAGCCAGAACGUAUAAGGUAACUCAACUUUGAAUGUUAAUUAAACAUAAACCCAGCCAUAAGUGACCGAAACUCAGCCGUUAUUAAACUUAUGAUAAUUCAGCCAUAGUAAAACAUAGCCAAAACCCAGCUGUGAAUGUUAAUAUAAUACAUUUCUAAUGGGACGUUUCCACUUGCUUGAUUGGACUGAGUUGUCGAUUAAUUAUGGCGCGUGUGGAAAAUUCGGCUCAAACAUAAUAUCGAGGCUAAUUAUUAAGAGUUUGAAAUACACGGCUGCCACGCAUGUGUCGAGAGAUUUACAAUAUCGAGACAUUUAAAUAUUAUUAUAUUAAAUAAAAAGGAAAUAAGAAAACGACGCCGUUUCAUCAUGUCGUCUUCUUACUCACCCUAAUUCCAUUUAAUUCCAUUUUGUUUCUGAAAUUGUUUUGAGAAUCAAAAUGUCUUCUUCAUCCUGCGUUUCAGGAAAUUCUUACAGACGACGUUUGAACGCGGAAAGAGGAACACCAAAACAAUGUUGGUGUGGUGAACCCUGUUACAUUUCUACAUCUGGAACCGCUACAAAUCCAGGAAGAUUGUACUAUUGUUGUAGAAAAGGAUAUAAUAAGGUUCGUUUUGGUUCUUAUUUCGCAUGUUCUGUAACGUAAUACUUAGAUCUGGUUAUAUUGUGAAAAUGGAGACAUUUAUUCAAAUGGGCGGAUGAGUGUUUGGUUGAAGAGGUUGAGGAUAUAAAGUCACUGAUAAGUGGCAUGAACAAAGACAUCUCGGAAUUCAGACUUAACGUUGAUCGGUUGGAGAAAGAGAUUGAAGUAGUGAAGACGGCGUCUGAGGGAAAAGGAGAAGAAUGUAUGAGUCAGGGUCGGUGUUUGAGGAAUGUGGUUGUUUGUGGGGUUGGAAUGUCGUUACUUUGCUACUACUACUUCUUUGUUUAGUAAUGUUUUGUACAUAUAAGUCAGCCUAUGUUUUAUGUAACUCAGACUUAAUGUCUUACAGUAACUCAGCCGUCAAGUAAUCUAAACGUUUCCGAAACUCAGCCAUAAUAAAACAUAGCCAAAACUCAGCCAAAACGUAUAAGGUAACUCAGUCACAACUUUAAGCUAACUCAGCCAAAACGUAUAAAGUAACUCACUCAGAACUUUAAGCUAACUCAGCCAAAACGUAUAAGGUAACUCAGUCACAACUUUAAGCUAACUCAGCCAAAACGUAUAAAGUAACUCACUCACAACUUUAAGCUAACUCAGCCAAAACGUAUAAAGUAACUCACUCAGAACUUUAAGCUAACUCAGCCAAAACGCAUAAAGUAACUCACUCACCCAAUUUCAUUAUUAAUGGGACGUUUCCACUUGCUUGAUUGGACUGAGUUGUCGAUUAAUGGUGGCGCGUGUGGAAAAUAUCGAUGUCUUUAUAAUAUCAAGACGAUUUAUACUUUAACUCCGCCAACAAUAUGAGAAUAUCGAGGCUAAUUAUUACUCCCUCCGCUUGCUUGAUUGGACUAAGUAUUUAAUUGACGUUUUACAUGUCUGCACGUAAAUUAAGAAAUCUGAACGUUUUACAUGUCUGCACGUAAAUUAAGAAAUUUGAACGUUUUUCAAUGCACGUAAAUUAACCUCUUUUCAUUGGUGUUUAAUGCUAAUAUGAUUUUAUAUUAUGUGACCAAAACUCAGCUUAAUUAAACAAAUGAUAAUUCAGCCAUAAUUAAAUAUAAACCGAGCCAUAAUUCAAUUAUAAAUCAGCCAAACGAAACAAUAAAUCAGCCGUCAUAAAACAAUAACUCAGCCAUUAUUAAUAACGAUGUUAAUAACUCUGCAUGAUGUUUGUUGAUGUUUGCAUGAUGUGUGUGCUUGAAAACAAUAAAUCAACUGUAAUAAAACAGUAACUCAGCUGUAAUUAAAUUAUAAAUCAGCCAAAAGAAACAAUAACUAAGUCUUCAUUACAUUAAUUUGUAGUCAGACAUACAUAAUGGCAUAGCAAAGAACUUAAAAAGAUAAAAUUCUGAUAGAUUACAUCUUCACCACUUCCUUGUGUCCCUAAUAAUGCUUAUCGGUUCAAAAUCACGUAAGAAUGUGCCCUUUGAUCCAGAAACAGCGCUCACACAUGUUGUCAUCCUUAGUCAUAUCAAUGUGCCACAAGCAGAGACAUUGUCGCUCCACAUGUGUUGCACAUUGGCAUCUGUAGAACGACGGAACAUAAGCUGAAACAAACAACGCCCUAUUUUGGCGGAACUCGUCAGAAUGCCACAAACCCCAUCCCCAUUUAACAGAUUGCACUAGUUUCCCUAUCCAAUGAACUGAUUCUCUUGGAGUACUAGCAAAAUACUGCCCAUCACAACAAAAGAUUGCUCGAGUCAUUUUGUGUGUAUACACAGUACGCUCAUAUCCUGCAUCUACUGCACGCUUCAUGAGAGAAAGCCCUUUUUCUUUAAGGCCGAAUGCGAAGAAGAACUGUGCACCCUUUAUAUAAAGUGUGCUUUGAUUUUCCUCAGCGUAGCAAGAUUUCAACAAUGAAGAAGGCAUAUUGAGUCCCCAGGGAACGGAUAACACAUCGUAGAAAUGGUAUACACCACGCCGCUCUGCUAACGCCUUCAUCGACUUGGACGAUGCUUUGAGGCCAUAGAGAUCUUGGAAGGAGUUACGGGCCACACGUUCAACCACCAACGCCUGAAUUUCUUCAGGCAAUUCAAGAAGAGGGAAAUAUUUCAUUUACUGUGAAAUUGAUUUUGAGAGAGAGAGAAAUUGUGUAAAAAAUAGAGAGUUAACAUAUAAUUGUUCGAGAAGUGCCUUAUUUAUUGACAGUAAAACGGUUUUCAUAUCGCGACGUUUCUUAUAAUGGGCGGGAAGUUAUUCCAUAACCCAUCCGUAAUACAAAUUCAUUCAAUAAAUCAGCCGUUUGAAAACAAAAACCCAGCCGUAAUACAAAAAAUGAAAAUCCCUAAUCCAGCCGUAACACAUUUACAUGAAAACAGAAACACAGCCAUAAUACAAAAAUAUGAAUAUCCCUAAUCCAGCCAAAAUACAUUUACAUGAAAAUAAAAACACAGCCGUAAUACAAAACAUGAAAAUCUCUAAUCCAGCCGUAAUACCAAAAACAUUAAAACAAAAACACAAUCGUAAUACAAAAACAUGAAAAUCCCUACAACACUUGCUUACAUCGGACAAGUUUCCGCAUUAUGUCCACUCUGUCUACAUCGAGAACAUGUGUGUUCUUUCCUAGGAUGUUUGUUUUGAAGUGCAACUUCUAAAUCAGAUUUUAUCCUAUUUUUCUUAGGUCUUCCUGGCUGUUGACGAAUAGACGGGGGCAAGCACGGUUUGUUAGCCACGAUUUCUGGAACAGGUUAUGCUGAGUCAGCCGGCAUGACAGAUUCAGCGUAUGCGCUCACCAAAUAUGCACUGUUAUAGUAAGGACUGCACAGGGAUAUACGACAAACAUUGUUGUACUCCGCAGCUGCGAUUGCGUGUACACAUGGUAAUUUAUCGCGUUCGAAACGACGACAUGUGCACUUUCGAAAUGACGACAUGUGCGCUUUAACUUCAGUGUGAUGAUCAUCAAUCCUUUGGACCGUCAACUCUCUGGUGGCAGUUACACGACCCUAUUAACAAAAAAAGAAUAAAUAUGAAACGACUGACUUGUUACAUAUUACGGCUGAUUUAAGAACUACCAAGGCUGAGUUAAGAAUUUUAUGAAACGAAUGACUUAUUACAUACUACGGCUGAUUUAAGAACUACAAAGUCUAAUUUAAGAAUUUUAUGCAUUUUAAAGACAGACUUAUUUUUACUGUUACGACUCACUUACAUGUAGUAGUUUCUCGACACCACGCGUAAGCGUCGUUGGCUGCGACCUGGCAUCCUCUCUCCGUUCAGCAAACCAUCUGGUCAUCAACGCCCGUAUCGAUUCUAAUAUUCGAACAAUGUUUAGACCUCUAGCAUUCGACAAUGCUCUGUUCAUUGAUUCUGCUAUGUUUGUAGUCAUCAAAUUGUACCUCUCACCUGGGAAAUGAACACGCGUCCACAGUCGGACAUCAGCUCUUUGGAGGUAGCCGUGAAGUGCAGGAUUAAUGGCUUCAAUCUCCUCAAAAAUCGCAGUAAAGUCAGAAAUCCUAAAACAUCAUGCCGCUUUCUUCACCAGACGGAAUGCAUCUUUUCCUUUGUACCGUCCCAAUAUGUUCUUAUAUAAAUGGUAGGUGCAUAUUCCCCGAGCAGCUAACGGAUACACAUUUCUAAUUGCUUUCCCUAUCGAGUUAUGCAUAUCCGAGAUUAUCGCAAGACCCUCGUCGUCAGGAAUCAGAAGUUUUAGUUGCGUAAAAAACCAAUGCCACGAAUCAUCAUUUUCUGUGUCAACCACUGCGAAGGCUAUUGGAAAAAUCUGAAAGUUACCGUCCUGAGCUAGUGCUCUGAGUAGCGUCCCUUUGUAUUUACCAUUGAGAAACGUACCGUCGACUACAACAACUUUGCGCAUGAAAGGAAACCCAUUUACGCUCGCACCAAAGGCAAGAAACACAUACAUGAAUCUUCCAAGCUCAUCGAUUUGAAGACGCGUAACUGUACUCGGAUUUUCCCUUCUUAUCAUGUAUAAGUAAGAAGGCAAGAUUUCAAACCCACACUCAGGUGUUCCCUCAUCGAUUUCCCAUGCAAAUUUCAGCGUCCGGUGUGAUUUCCAAUAAUUCAUCUGUUCACAUGAAAAAACGAUCCUCAUAACUCACCCGCAUCAAAUAAUUAAGACAGCCACAACGUAAAAAUAACUCAACCCUAUCUUUACUAUAACUCAGCCGCAUCUAACAUUAUAGUAACCCAGCCGCAUUGUAUGAAUAUGUCAGCUGUUAUAUUUGAUAUUACUCAGUCGUAUCGUUAAAAUAACUUAGCCACAACAAAGUAAUUACCUUUAUACCAAACUGCUUAGUGAUAGCUAUUCCGACGCUCGUAGGGCGAACGGUCGGACCAACGUCGCCGAGAAAGUUCUUGUACAACUCUCCUAAAAUAUUUGGUGUUGCUUGUCGAGAUCGAUUAGAACGCUCUGUGCAGGAACAUGUAUGCUUCGAAUCGUAAAUACGAACAUGAAACGCCGGGGAUUCUCCUUGGGUAGAAGCACGAACUCUCCAGAGACAUCCAUCAACCCAACACUUAACAACGUAUGAUGUCGGGGUUGAUGUUUCUACAUCAAAAUCAAAUUGAUGCCUCACUGUAUGAAGUUUCAGUCGUCUCUCCAAAUCGUCUUUAAUCUCGUAUCGUUGACCUACCGCAAUGUCUAUCGACGACAUCUCCAACCUUAGAACCUCCAGAUUCCCUUUAGAUCCGCUCAUCGAGAAGUUCUGAUAUCUCUUCUUGGGAGGUAGCGUUAGUGAAUCUUCGUCUUCUGUAGGAGACUCGCCGUAUGAGUUGAAGUUAUCAUCUUCAGAUGACGCACCGUCCGAAUCGUCGAACAUAUCAAAUCGUCUUUCAAAUUCAUCAUCUUCUUCGUUUUCUUUGCCUAUUUCAUCUUCUCCGACUACGUCGUGUUUUCCUCCUUCGACAUUACUAGAGCAGUCAUUCUCAUUGUCCUCUUGUUCCUUCUCCAAACUGCAACCAUCGUAACUCCCACUGUAAUUUUUGUCUCUGGACUCAACUACUGAAGCUUCUACUUCUGAGCUAAAGCUGAAAAAUGUUUUACUCUUCUCUCUUGCUCUGUUCUCCGUAAUCUCCACACAGAAACGUAGUUGUUCGAUUUUCUUUAGGCUUAGAAAACCUUGCAAUUGUCGAGUAUUGGACACGUAAACUGGUGGAGUGUCGUGCGCCAUUGUUUUCAAUGCUUUAUUCGAGAACAUGUAGCUAAGCUGAAUAUGAUCCCUCAAAUCAUUCAAUCUGUAAUCUUCGAGAACAGUUUUUGCGAAAUCUUCAUGUAUUGUCUUCUCAUCUAAAUGAAGAACUCUACACCCUCUUCUGUCGACGUUGAAUACAUAUCUGUUUUUCUUAAUCCAGUUACCGGAAACAAUAACUACCGGAUCCAUAACCAACUGAGAAAGAUGAAAACGAUAGAUAAAUAACAUGCAGAAGAACAUGAACAGUCUCAUAAACCAAGUUGUAAAUUUCGUUCGUUAGUGAUGACAUGGCAAAUCCGAGUUGAUGACAUUGCGGAUUUCUUGCUCGUAUCUUGGAUUUUUUUACAAAACUCAACCAACAAGUUAGUAUUAUCUCGGCCUUAAAGUAACAAUAACUCAGCCGUCUCGAAUUUAAAUAACUCAGUCAUGUCGUAUUUAAAUAACACUGCCAAUUAACGAUAACUCAGUAAUUAUGAAAUUAAAACUCAGCCGUAAUUGUAGAGAACCAAGCCAUAAACAAAAAUCAGCCGUAAUUAAAAGACAACCCAGCCGUAAAUUAAAACAUAACCCAGCCAUAAUAAUGUCAUAACAAAGUACAUUAAAAAAAGAUAAGAUUCAAUACAAUACAUCUUCACCACUCCCUUGUGUCCCUAAUCACGCUCAUCGGUUCAAACUCACGGAAGAAGAGCCCCACCUCUUUGAUCCAGAAACAGCGGUUACACAUUUUGUCACCCUUACUGUUUUCAACGAACCACAAGACCCAAUCUCGCUCCAAAACAGGAACACAUUGGCAACUAUAGAACGAAGGAACAAUGGUUGAAAUGAACUCGUCCUUCUUUGCCCGAAACUCGUAACCGUGAAGAGAACCCCAUGCCCAUUUUAGAGAUCGAACUAGUUUCCCGAUCCUAUCAACUGAUUCCCUUGUAAAACGAGCAAAAUACUCCUCAUCACCCCAAAAAAAAUUUCUAGUCAUUGCGUAUGUAUACACAGCACGCUCAUAUCCUUCAUUCGCUGCAAGCUUCAUGAAAGCAAGUCCUUCUUCCUGAAUGUUAAAUGUGAAGAAAAACUGUACACCCUUCAUAUAAAGUGUGCUUGGAUUUCUCUCCGCGUAGCAUGUUUUCAACAACUCAGCAGGCAUAUUAUGUCCACAGGGAACGGAUAAUACAUCGUAAAAAUGGCAUACACUACGCCGAUCUGCUAACGCCUUGAUCAACUUGCACGAUGCUCUGAGGCCAUAGAGAUCUUGGAAGGAGUUACCGGCCACACGUUCAACCACUAACGCCGGAAUCUCUUCAAGCAAUUCAAGAAUCAGAAAAUAAUCCAUUAAUAUAACGUUAAUAUAACUAAGCAAUGAUGGUUGAUAUAACUUAGCCAUGUUGGUUAAUAUAACAUCGAGGCCUUCAUAGAGAUCGAGAUGGUAAUACUUUAUUAUUUAACUCAGCCGUUAAUAUUAAUGGGACGGCUCAGUGUGGAAAAUAUGUCAAAAGUGUGGAAAAUACGGCUAAGAACUAAUAUCGAGGCCUUUUAUUACUUUAGUAUUUAAAAACUGAUUUAAACGUUUAAUGGGACGUUUCGUCUUUCUUGAUUUGACCAUGUUGAUAAUUAAUUAUGGCGCUUCAGAAGUGUGGAAAAUACGGCUCAGAACUAAUAUCGAGGCCUUUAUAACAUCGAGACGAUAAUAUCUCAGACUUAAUUAAAUGAUAACUCAGACAUAAUUAAAUGAUUACUCAGCCAUAAUUAAACGAAAACUCAGCCGAAACCAUUAACAUAAACCCAUACAUAAAUAUGUUGUUCUACAUACAUAAUGGCAUAGCAAAGAACAUAAACCCAUACAUAAAACUCAGCCUCAAUUCAUUUAAUCCGUAAUCAUCGAGUACAGACUUUGCGAAUUCUUCAUGUUUUGUUUUCUCAUCUAAAUACAGAACUUUACACCAUCUACUGUCGGCGUUGAAUACAUAUCUGUUUUUCUUAAUCCAGUUACCAGAAAACAAUAAUUACCGGAUCCAUUAGAUCUCUGAGAAAGAUGAAGAAUAAGAUGAAGAAGAUAGAUAGAUAGAUAAAGAAGAUGAAUAAAAAGAUGAACACACACAAACCUAGUUGUAAAGUAGUUCGUUAGCAGUGACAUAGCAAAUCCGAGUUGAUGACAUGGCGGAUGACAUGGAAAAUUAGUUAAUCAGCCGACAAACGAAAAUAUAAUUCAGCCUAUGUAAAUCAGCCCUCAUGUACAAUGUAAGUCAGCCGAACCGUGGAUACUAGUUCAAAAAUUAAUCUUUUGAUCCGAAAUCAGCCGUAAUUAGGAUGAAAAACCAUAAAUCAGCAGUAUCGUCACAUAAAUCAGCCGUCAAACGAAUGAUAUUCUAGUAAUUAAUCUUUCGCUAAUAAGUCAGCCGUAAAGAAGCUGAGUUUAAUGUUAAUCCAUCCUAUUACGGCAGAUUAAAUAUAAACUCAGCUGUAACAACAUCCCAUUAGUCAGCCGUAAAAUAAAUAACUCAGUCAGUCGAUAUUCAUUAACUCAGCCGCGGAAACAUAACUCAGCCGUGUCUUAACUACAACUCAGCUGAAUAUUCCAGUAAUCAAACCGUCGAUGUAUAAGUCAGCCGUAACUUGUGUCUGUAAGUCAGCCGUUAUCCCAUAAAUCAGCCACAUUUCUGUAAAUCAGCCGUACCGGGCGGCUGACUUAUGUUCUUAAAUCAGCAUUUUCCUCUUAAGUCAACCGUGUUUAUUAAUUCAGCCGACACGUAGCAAUAAAUCAGCUGUAACAACGUAUGUAGUGAUUUACGGCUGACUUAAUGAAAACACGGAACCGAAUUCCUACGUGGCGCCGGGUUUUUGCUUACGGGGCAGCGAAAAGUAAUGGCAUUCUUGUAAAUACGUUUUUUCUGAAAGCGUAAAAAAAAGGCACGCUUGGUAUUUAAAAAAUGCCACUAAUAAAAAAAAGAUCUGUAUGGUUCUAGUCAAUUGUCCUAAAAUAUUGUAUAUUUGAGUAAACUUCCCUAUUAUUUAUAACAACUCGAACAAGAUAUCACAAAAACACGGGCUCGAGCUAGGAAGAAGUAUCGAAAAUAACAAGUGAUCACACAAACAUGAGCUCGAGGAAGAAGAAGUAUCGAAAAGAAUACUGGGUUUGUUGAAGUUUUAUAAUACUUUGAGAAUUCUAUUUACCCCAUUUCUAGCACGCAUGUUAUAGACGUGAGUCAUGACUGUAGUACAACUGCACAUAAUAUGAUACAAGAAAGGAAGAUGGUAAAAAAUCCAAAGUUUGAGUUCGCCCUCUCUCUGGCACGAAGACCAAGACGGCCGCAACUAGGCCUGGACAAAAUAACCGGAACCGAAGAAUCGAACCGGAACCGAACCGAACCGAAAUACCCGAAACCGAAACCGGACCAAUACCCUCAAAUAUCCGAGCGGUUCCUAUAUUUUUAUAUCCGAAAUAACCGAACCGAACCGGAACCGAACUGAUAACCGAACGGGUACCCGAAUAUAUAAAAAUAUUAAUUAUAUAUACAUAUAACAUCACUAAAUAUAUAAUUUUAAUUUAAAACUCUAUUAAAAGAAUCUGAAAAUAGUUGAGGAUAACUAAAUUAUUAUAAAGUAUCCAAACUACCCGAUAGUAUCUGAAACUAUCUGGAUAGUUUUAUCAGAAAUAUCCAAAGUAAUCCGAAAUAUCCAAAUUUUUUAUCUAAAUCAUCAUAAUUAUUUGAUAUUUUACCCUAAAUAACCGAUAUUUUAUCCAAAUUAUCCGAAUUACCCGAACUAUCCGAACCCGAACCGGAUCCAAAUGAGAACCGAAUUUUUUCUGGUUCCUACAUUUACUAUCUGAACCGAACCCGAAACUAUCUGAACCGAACCCGAAACUAUCCGAACCGAACCUGAAACUAUCUGAACCGAACCGAAAAAUAGGUCAAGUACUAAAUGAAUCCUCUAGCCCCUAUCUGAACUACCCGAAACCUGAAAUACCCAAACCGAACCGAACCGAUAUCCGAAAUGCCCAGGCCUAGCCGCAACUACAGGAUGAGCUCCCCCUCCGGCAUCUUCUCCGGUGACUGCUCCUUCUUCUGAAGUGUGCGUUUUCCCCUCCUCUUCCGUGCCGUUCCUGAGUUUGCUCCGAUGGUCAUCUCCCCAUCUUCUCUCCCAACACCGAUGACUCAACGCUCGAAGCUCAAACCAGGAUCUUCUCCUUGGCGAACCUCCCGUCUCAUAGACCUCAACCCCCGUCCACCUUCGGAGCCUCCGGACCCACCGGAUCGAGUCCCUCCUUCACAAUCCGGAAGCUCCACCAUCUACUUGUGAAGCCCCUCCACUGCUGCUCCACCGCUUCUCACCCACCUCGAGCUUGCGUUUAGAGUUCCCGAGAUCCCUCUCCUCCAACGUCACAGGUCUACUCACCGUGAGACAGAGCAACCGCCAUCUCCGCCGUUUGUUGAGCUUCACCAACCAGAUCUACGUCUCGUCUAUUCACCGGUGCUUUUGGCCAAGAACCUUCACUGAUAGAUUUUCAUCAGACCUCUAUGUAUGGGCUUUCAAAUUUUAAUAAUAGGAUUGCGGUUCAGUUUAGGGUCCAAUGAGAGCUGCGGGUCUCGAUACGGUAAUGUCUGAGCCCUUGUUCUCAGUUUGGCCUCAGCUCCCACCCCUCCUUUGAAUAUAGCCAAGAGCUUUUCAUCACCUCCAACAGAAUCUGAAAUUUUCUCAGCCUCUAUAAAUCUAACUCAAAGGUGUUCUUUCUGUUCAAUCCCUGCAACUCCGGUAUCAUCUAUGCGGUUUUUCAAAAGGUCCGAGCAUAUUGAACAUGGGAUUCCGGCGUACGUGGUCUCAGCUCGCUGUCACUGCUCUACCCUGUCUCCUCAUCCACAGCAAACCAACCAUUCCAAGCUGAACUCAGCCACACAUGGACCUCCUGGAAUUUAUCUCUCACGCUUAGCUUGAUACAGCCUGAUGAAAUGUGUUUUUGUUUGGUUUCCGUAACUCUCUGGCUCCAACACGGUAAUGUUGGAAGAUGGAGUCAAUGCGUGAACUCAAAAACGGGUUGCCCAUCAAGUCUGUUCGGGUUCUUAUCUCAGGUUAAGGAAAUCAAGUCUCCAUGGCCGGUUCUAGCUUCAAAUACACUGAUGGAAUCAGCGAUAGCAUCAACCGCUCCACUAUCUAGCCCACCGACCAAUUUGCUCUCUGGAAUGUUUGAGAUUCACAUAGUCUCCCGGGUCAAUUCAACGCUCAUCAGAGCUAUUUCCGGUAACAGUCAGUCCAAAGAAAUCAUUGGCAUCGUCUCUGACAUCCGUUCGAUCUCCUCUGGCUUUGCAACAAUCGUGUUUUCUCACAUCUCUCGAUUUGAAAACUUGAUUGCCUACAUUAUAGCUAAGCAGACUUUACAUGCAUUUUCUUCUUUGUAUUGAACUCUUGGGGUUGGGCCAUCGUUUUUGGGCCUCUCUCUUUUCUACUUUAAUGAAAUUUCUGUGACAAAAAAAAAAAGAGGAAGAUGGUACAAACGUGAAACCAAAUUAGUUUAGAUAUGUUGCGUUAAAACGUUUAUCCUUGAGUUGCAAACUCAAAAUGCUAAAUUUGAAACAAUCAAACAUAUAUAAUCGAUUAGGUUUGAUUUGGUCAUUUUGCCUCUAAAGGCCACAGUAUAAAACUAUAAAUGGGUGUUGUAGACUUUUGUUGUUGUCGUUGUUGUCGUCGUCAGAGUUAUGGACUCUACGUUGCACUUUAUUCAUUUCAAUGGUGACAUGGUGGCCAUAAUCAUCAAUAAGUAGCAAAAUAUAUGCAGUACACUAAGGAUCAGCUCGUAUAGAUAUAUAAAUGUUAUACUAUAGAACCAUAGAAAAGGCCAAGUUUCCCACUUUAUAUCUAGCUUUCACAUGAACACAAUGAAAUCAUAAUGUUUAAUUUAUAUCUCUCGGAGCAUCUAAAUGGUCAGACAUUUAAACAAACAAUCAGUCAUCAGAGAGAAACGAGACUAUUCAUCACUCGAAAGACUUUCAUAUACACACACAAAGGGGAAGCAACACCCACAUGAGACACGACCAACAACUUAUUUCAUUGUAAUCAAACACAAUUCAAUAACAAAUGAUCAAAUCUCAUACGUUUAACUGAUAAUAUAUGUCAUCCUAAGGCGGCUAAACCUAAUUGAGUCGCAGCUCGAAUAACAAAAACGGAAAAUUGCCUAACUGCCCUAAGUGCUAAGUUUGCUCUGAGAAAAAUCCUUCUCCAUGCCUCUCGCCUAGGACUCCUUAUAUACUGGCUCCUAUGUCGGUUUACGCUUUUCCUCUUCUGCCCUUAAGCCGUCAUAGCAUAAAAAUGAAGAUAUUUCAUUUUUUCCGAUCUUCGUAAUUAUCUUCAAAAUUUCGUAUUUAUCCGCGGAAACUUAACAUUUAUCUUUCCUUGCGAACCAAGCGUAAACCGUCAUGCGGCUUACGGGCUGUUAGUUAAGAAAUCGUAAGUUGGACCUCGAGUAAUGUCUUAGGUCCCUUUGGGCCGUCUUCUGACUCGAAGCGUUUAUUACGACUUCUUUCGAUAAAGAACGAACUUUCUGCGGUUUUUACCGUAAAGUUUGAUCGAUGACUUAGAAUGGCGGGAAACAUGAAAUGGGUUCGCUACGGUCUUCGGGAGAUAGCAUAGCAACCGAUCUUCGGUUCGAGCUCGGUCGCUACGUAGCGACCGAGCGGAAUGGACGAUCGGUCCCUACGUAGCGACUGAGCCUUGGCUCGAACUCGGUCGCUACGUAGCGACCGAGCGGAACAGACGCUCAGUCGCUACGUCCCGCUCGGUCGCUAUGUAGCGACCGAGCUCGAGCCAAGCUCGGUCGCUACGUAGCGACCAGACAGCGUGCAUGUGCGGUAGUUGCGUAAUGACCGAGCUUGGUUCAUCUGUGUUCUGAUCGUCAUACUCGGACUUAUCCGUAGCUGGUCUGGGUAUGUUUCCAAUGGCUUAUGUUUGAUCUAAAUAGAAUUCGAACGAAGCUUUAUCUCGGUAACAUACGUUGCGACGUUUUCUUGACCGAGCAUGAUUUGUUUCGUAAAUACAUACUUGUAUUCUGCGGGGAUUUGGACGUUAACUUCGUCGUAACCGUUUUCGACCCCAACAAUGGACUCUCAGACAUUGAUUCCUUCGUGACCGAUUUUGACCCCAACACCUACUAUUAUGUCAAAUGAAGAGAUCUCAUAGAUCCAUGGUAAGAUUAUCAACCAUUUAUCUAGCUAUUUCGUUAAUGUAUUUGCAAGAUGAUCAUACACACUGACACGAGUGAUUAUAUCUAUGAGGACCGCCCCGUUUUUACUGACUCGAAAAAUCAACAUCAAAACAAUGAACUAUAUUAAACAUUGUGAAUUACCACAUGACGGAGACCUGCGGUUCUUCUCCAGUUCCUCAUGUGGCAAACAUAUCCACAAAAUCAGAAACCAAUUAUAUAAACUCCAAUUCAUACUCGUCAAGUUCAAUAAAAAAAUCUCGAGAUUAUUAAGUUAACCAGUAACUUUCUAGCGAGGUCCCCAUAGCUCUGCACGCUCACAUUCCUGCAGCGAGGUCUUCAUGGCUUUGCAAACUCAUAUUCCUGCUAGCAGAUUCCUUGGCAUAACUCAACCUUUGCGACACUUCUGCCUGCAGGUUCAUAUUAAGUAACAUCACUUAUUGAACUUAAAAGGACUACUCUGACAUAACAAGUUCAUCAGUCCAAAUUUACUUUUUAACUAUAACAGCCAACCACAGUCCUCACAAAUCCAUGGAACAUCGUUCCUCAACUUAAGGAAAAAAAUGAGUAGAGCAUACCAUGCACCGGUCGAAGACACGGAUUUGGGGAGCAUUCUCCUCUGCAGUGAGAGGCUGAGAGCAAUCCUACCUUGAGUACACUUGUCACAGAACACGUCACCACAGUUUCUGCAGUGAUGCUGAGAUAAAAAUAGUCCAUAAGGUUUGUCAGUCCCAACAUGGCACUUAAUUCCAGAUUAGAAGAUCGGGGGGAGAAACAAUACCCUUAGAUUGAAUGCACCGAAAUCUGAACCACAUAAUGUACACUUCGAAACAGCUUCAUCAGGAACCUGAACCCAGAUACAAAUGAAGUGAGAACAACCAAAUACCUAAGCGCGAAAGAUGAGAAUGGUUGAUGUUUUUAUUUCAAAAAGAAACGAGAAAACCCUACCCAAUGAUCUUUCUCCUCAUUUACAGACUUUAUAAUGUUCAUCCAAUCACUCUAUCCUUUCUUCUUCUCAGUAGAUUGUUCGACCAGCUUUGCCGAGACGGGAGGCCUACUACUUCCCCAAAUCUCCUUGGCCUAAAACCCACCAUCAUAAAAUAUAUAAUGCAUAAACAAGCAGAAAGCAUAAUGACACAAAACAUGCAUGUCUAGGAACCUGAAACAUUGCAGCUGUCACAGUGUCAAGAGGUGUGUUGGUGGUGUAACUAUUUGAUUGCAGUCUGAUACGUUUAGCUUCAAUAUUCACCGGAGUCUUAAGACCAAAAAGCUAUAAUAGAAGAAUCUAGUUUCUGGAUAGAAAAGAAACAUAUAUAAGAGUCUCUCAUUCAUUCAAAUAGCAACACUAAAGAAGGUAGCUUAAUUUCUUACUUCGCAUCUCGUAAUGUAUAUAUCCUCAAAGUUCGGCUAGUACUUGGAUCAAGCAUACGAAGGCCAUCCAAACCAAUCUGCUACCACAAAACAGACACCCCAUUAACUAAAAAGCAACAGCCUUUACUCAAGAGCAGAACCGUCUACCUGACAAAGAACAUCAGUUGUGGUCUGUCCGUAGGUCUCCGCCAACAACUUGACACAAAACUUUUGGACACCUUCCUGCACAUCAGCCUUGGGGACAGCUCUGAUGAUCUUAGCAGAGAGGAGUCUCUACCUGAAGAAAGGCUAAUGGAUCUUCCAUAAUCAUCAAACAAAGUCGAAUUCGAUGACUUGGGCGCCUCCCGAGUAAGCAAAGACUCCAUCUCCGUAUGAAUCAUCGAAAGAAGGGGGGGUAACCUCCGCUCUCAGAUCGUUUUCCGAUCUGCUCCUCCCUUGUCGUAUGGCUUUUCAUACGAAGGAGGGAUGGAAGAUCCUCCGCCAGUGUAAGGAGGUGCGGAGUACAGAGAGGAUGAGUACUGCGGGGGGGUUAGGGUUAGGCGCGGGUGCAGAAGAAAGAGGUCUGAUGCUGAUCGAAGGGAGGAUAAUACACGUGGUGGAUACGCCCGUAGAAGAUUUUAGGGACAAGACUCAUUAAUCCAUAUUCAAUUGGGCCUUAAAUUAGAUUAAGCCCAAUAACAAGAGAAAGAUAGGAGUAGGAAGGGUAUUUCAGAUGACGUAGCAAUCUAGGACCGAGUUUACGCGGAGAUUGUGGGAAGAGACGAAAGUAGCCCUUAAGAAAAAGAUAUCUAACGAUUAGGGUUUUCAUUUUCGCAAUUAUUCCCUCUCCCCGCAAACGUAAGCAUAGGCUUAUACGGCGGAUCACGCGUCUUUAAAUAUAGACCUUACCCUCCCCAUUUUUUUCUCAUCCAAUUAUUCCUCUCUCUCUCUCUCUCUCAAAUUCAAAUCGAGAAAAACAAAAAAAAGGAUAGGGUUUUCGUCUCCGUCUCUCUGUUCGAUUUGGAUUCAGAUUCAUUUCGCUGUUUAAUCGAAUAGAUAUAACGAUGUCGCGAUAUUUCACAUCUCCACCGCCUGUGUAUGCAAGGAACUGGGCGAACGGUCAGAACCUGGUCGAAUCGACUAAGGUAGUUCGUCCAGCACUCAGUUCUGUGCGUUCCUUCGUCUGAACAUUAAAUAUCCUAAUUUCUUGAUGCAUAUAUGUUAAUUAUUGAUUAAAAAUGAUUAUGCCUUACUGUUUUAUUUGUUAGAAUAUUUGACUAUGGAUCUGUGAAAUUAAUCUUUCAUGAAUUGCAUAUUGUUUUUAUUAAUACAUAUCAAUGUCACAAUCGAACGAUAUCGUGUAAGCAUGUAUGUUGUUUGGUUUGGUCCGAAGCCAUAGUCAACCAUAGAGACGUGUUGUAGAUGUAUGAUUUGACUAUUAUUUUGUUAUUCUGAGUGAUGUGAUGUACCCCCCACUUAUAUGGUUGUUUCCCUAUGAUACUUCGCAAUUAGUCUAAAUCCUUUAUUCUAAAUGGAUUAUAAAGAUCAUCGAAAGACAAGUAGUACCUUCUAACAAGGUUCACCGCAAAGAGAAAGAGAAGGAGGAGAGGAAGAAAGAAAAGAAACAUAAGAAUGUGAAAUCCGUUGAACAGCUGUAUCUACCGACCAAGCAAGUGUGUGAUGAAUCUGAACAGCUUGAGAAGAGUUGUUUGACGGAAGAGCAUGAGCAACAUCACCAUGUUGGUUAUUUAUCUGAUGGUAGCCAGAACAGUAGGAAGAGAAGAAGGGAAGCUUCUCCCGCUGUUGAGAGUGACAUCAAAGGUUUGUUUCUGAAUUCUUUGUAAUAAUAUUGGUUUAAAUGUUUUCCCUUGUGUAAUAAAUGGUGUUUUGUUCAUUUGCAGCUACCCCUGUAGUUGGUAAGCCUCUACGGAUACGAUUUGUCUUCAAGAAACCUAAAGAAGCUGAGGCUGUUUUUCCUCGAGAGGAUCCUGUUUGCUCCACGUCAGGGACUGAUGGACACAUAGAAACAUCAACUUAUGUCUCAGCCCAUGAUGAGAAUCUGCUUUCAACUUCUCUUGCGAGUCGAAAGACUGCAAUUCCUUCCGAGUCAAAGAGUAAAAGGAAGCAUAAGAUUAGCAAAGAAUCUCGGUACAGUUCGUUGUUUGAUGAACCGGUUCUUCCCUGCAUUUCUAUGGAGGAAGAUGAUAACAGCAGUGAUGACUGGCUUCUUGGUGCGAGGCCGCAAAAGAAGGCUCCUGACAAGUCUUGUAUGAAUGAAGACAUGGUUAGCAACAUGCAGAAGUCUGGAGAUUCAUGUUUCCCUAGACCCCAGUAUUUGCCUGAAGUGGAGAUUUUUUCAUUGCCAUACACAGUCCUGUUUUAGGCCUGCCCCCAAAAUUGUUUUGUUCUUUCUCAGCUUUAGCCUUGGGCCUUAGCUUGUACAGUUCCACUGAUUGUAACAAACACAAGUAUCAAUAAUACUUUGACUGAUCUCUGACUCUAAUCUUGUACUAUUACUUGUGGCCUACGAAGUUAUAGUUUCGAUCUGACAGCACGAGAUGGUUCAUAUCAUAUCUCAACCAAAUCACUUGCAUAUACAAACAGCUUGAAAGCAUAAACAAAAAUAUUGCCAUAUUAAUUAGACUCGUAUGUCAAUACAGAAUGAUCCCAUAUAGCAAAGAGUAGUUAGUACACACUUUGAACUCAAAAGAUACAACAACACACAGCUUUGAUUUAAGCAACUAUACAAAAAGCUAACUCGAAAUGUCUCCCUUCAGUAUCGGAAUUGUCAUAUAUUAUAAUCACAAGAAGGCACAACGGUUCUUGUUCUUUUUCUUAGUCUUCUUCUGCUUUGGUGGCUGAAGAACCACUUUUAUGGCUGCAUCAAACACUGCCUUCACAUUCUGUAGAAUCCAACAAACUUCAGCCUCAUAGUACGCAAAUAAUAAGAAGCAGUACAAGCAAUAUUUUUAUAUCUACCUGCUGAGUCUUUGAACUACAUUCAAUGUAGACAGCAGAGCCAAUCAGUUUCUUCAGUUCCUCUCCCUGCAUUAACAACGAUAGAACCAUGUUUCAUCACAAAGUGAUCAUCAAUGGGGAGACUAAUAACAACCAUACACCCAUAUUACAAAAAAUCAACUACCUGGUUUGUAGUAAUAGGAACUGCACCUGGAUGAUCUAUGAAGAAUUGCUUGUCAUCUCGAAGAUCUGCAAAUCCCAAAAUAAUUCACAAUCUCACAUGGCCAUACAAAACUUUGUAAAAAGCUACGAAGAUGACCAAAGAUAGCAUGAUGAGAGUUCAAGAAGGAAAAAGUGUUGGAUACCAAGUUUUGUACCAACGAGGAUAAUGGGAACACCAGGAGCAUAAUGCCUGAGCUCCGGAAUCCACUGAGAGAGAUAACAAAAUCAAAUUAGACUUUUUAUACUCAUCAUAAGUUAUAUAGAAGAGUCAAAACCUUCUUGGCGAUAUUCUCGUAGCUAGCCUUGCUGAUGAGAGAGAAGGCAAGAAGGAAAACAUCAGCGCCACGGUAACUCAGAGGUCUUAACCUGUUGUAGUCUUCUUGACCUGUUUUCAAAAAACCAAGUCAAGACCGAAUGUUCCAAAACAGUGAAACCGGUUUCAAGAAGAAAGAUUUGUUACUAACCGGCUGUGUCCCACAAGCCAAGAUUGACAGUGUUGCCAUCUACAACCACAUUAGCACUGAAGUUGUCGAAAACGGUUGGAACAUAGUCCUGAGAGAUUCACCAGUUCAUAGAUUUUAUGUUAGAUCGUCCUCACGAGGUUCCAUGUUCAAUGAUUUGGCAAUAAAUAAAUUAGAAAAACAAAGAUAUAAGUUGAAAUUACAGUUGGGAAAGUGUUGCUGGUGUAAGAAAUGAGCAUGCAGGUUUUUCCGACAGCACCAUCUCCGACCGUAACACACUUUAUGAACCUUGACGCGCUCAUCUCCGUCGGAUCGUAAGAAUUCCGUUUUUCGUGCUUAUUCCUCAAAUCAUUCCUAGUAACCAAAGCCUAUAUGUAUCGCACUCCAACUAGAAUCGAAGUCGUAAGCUUGUGAAUUUGAGAAGCCACCAAAAAAAAAAAAUAGCAGAGAAGGAAGGAUGGAAGAUGCUUAAUGUGGCGGUUGAUUCAUGACUUUGAGAUGAUUCUUCUUCAAUACAACUAUGUUUUUUUUUUUUUUUGAAAAAGGGCAUCAAUACAACUAUGUUACAGCUCCCACCUCCCCUAUAAUACUUUUUAUUUAUUUAUUCAACACGUAUUUUUUAUUAUCAAAUUUUGAAAAUCUCUUUUUCUUCCUUUCUUUAUUUUCGCGGAUUUGAAUUCUGAAUGAGAGGAAGGAUCUAUCUGUUGGUUUUAUGAAAACAAGAAAAAUGCAAAUGUCACAAAUGUGUUUAUAUUAAAUACAUUUACUACAGUCUACAGAGUUCAUAAUAUUGCAAAAAAAAAAAAAAAAUCAAAUAAUAUAAAAUUACGUACGAGAGACUUUAUGGUUUAGUUCUAUAAGUUUAUAACUAUAGUAUAGCAAAAUAUGGAGAGGCACAUCGGAUUUGGCAAAUAUCAUCAUCAUCAAGAACGUGCCACAUAGUGUUACGGCACGAUUCCGAAAUAUCAAAUUUCUUUCUUUCUUCUCUUGAUUUUCCUCAUCAGUUACCUACGGAUUAGGAAACAUAGGCGACGAAAGUCCAAAGGGACGUGCCCAAUUCUAAGUAAACCAAACAAAAAACGAUCCACCACGUCACUGAGUGUCCCAUCACAGAAUCAUAAUCACACCAGUUGGUAGCUUCGUUGUUAAAUUUCAUGAAUCAUAGUUAGUAGUAUGUCUAUUGACUUUUAACUAUGAUCAAUCCAUUCACAUUGUGUUACAAAAAGUCUAUAUUUGCUAACAAAGAAAGAGUCUUGAAUAUUUGGAAAAUGUAAUUUGUAUUUCCAAACAUUCGUAUAAUAAUAAUAUUUGUUUGUUUAAACCACUCAUUCUUUGAAACUGAUUGUAUGCAUGCAUGUGCGGAGAUAGAAUGAAUUUUGCAACUCAGAGAUUAUAGGAAGUGAUUGUGGAAUUAAACAAAGAGAAUAAACGAGAAAGUGGGAAAGAUAUGAAGUUCACCAAAUCAUUAUAUCUGAGAAGUUAAGAUUACUACACAUGCCUACCAUUCCUACCGACUAUUCACCAACCAGUAAUUAACCAUCCCACUUUUCUUUAUUAACUAACUCAAACUCAACUAUUAUAUUUGAAAAUAUUAUCAUUGAAUUAAUAACCAUAAUGAUGGAAAUCAUAAACGAAAAAAAAUCUACGACACUAAUAUCAUUUCCAACCCAAUACUAAAAUUCUAUUUUAGUGUGAUUUUGACACCAAAACUUUUUCCAGAUUUUUGGAUCCCUACAAUACCAGCUAGGUUGGUUCGUUCCUUAGCUCCAGUUUUGCAUCUGAACAUGAGAGUCAAUAACCUUAUUAAUCAUGAAUGAGAUGUUGGGUUAGUGGAAGACUAUGUUUCCCCUGAAGAUAUACCUUUCAUAAAGAGUUUGGCCAUAAGCUCAGCUCAUCGCCGCGACACAUUCUAUUGGAACUACACUAAGAAUGGCUAGUACACGGUUUAAUCAGGAUAUUGGGUAGCUCGUAAUUUUUUGAAGGCUGGGGAUGAGAAAGAAGUACUGGAGCCCAGUAUAACAAAGCUUCAAGCCUUUACUUGGACGAUAAAAGCCCCACGGAAGAUAUGUCAUUUUAUAUGGCAAUUGAUAAUAGGUCAUGUGGCAGUAACAAAUAACCUGAUAACGCGUAACAUGAGAUGCGAUAACUAUUGCCCACGAUGUGGAGAACCAGAAGAAUUUGUUACUCAUGCAAUUUUUGAAUGCCCAUCAGCUCUACAAGUUUGGGCCUUAUCAGUGACGCCAACGAGCCCAAAUAUCUUCCAUGUCCCGAGUAUCUAUGCUAAUAUGGAUUAUCUCUUCUGGAGAAAUAACAACAUUGUCGAGCCAUAUUUAGACAGAGAUCUUUAUCCCUAGAUAAUCUGGUAGUCAAAAAUGAUAAACUUUUUAGGGGAAUAGACAGAGAUCCUUUGGAGCUAGUUCGCUAUGCAGAAAGUGAGUGUCAAGCCUGGUUCAAUGCAAACGAGAUGGUGCCAUCAACUCAACAAGACCAUAGUAUUGACGAAGCUCAAGUCUUAAGCUUGGGUAAUAUUUGUAUGAUAGACGAGCCAUGGACAUCUACAACACAGUUCAGCGGGUGUGGAUGAGUUUGGAUGGACAACUUGGAGAAGGUUCAACUUAUGGAGACACAGAAUUAUAUUCGACGAGAGUCUGCCCUGCAUUCAGAAGUGGAAGCACUGAGAUGGGCGAUGGAGAGUAUGCUUCAGUAUCCGACAUGUCAAAGCUUCGAAACGGACUGAAAGGAUUUGAUCACCAUGAUUAAGGAGCCCCAUGCUUGACCAAGUUUUGCGACAGAAUUUGAGAGGAUAGAGAAUCUGCAGAUAUGCUUCCCUGGCUUCAAUAUUACUCAUAUUCCACGAGCGCAAAAUCAGCUUUCAGACUCUUUAGCUAGGAUUGUAAAAUCUUUCCAAAGAGAGCUUUAUUUAUUGGUUGUUCUAUUUCCGUCUCGUUACCCAGACACCUCAAGUUUGAGUAAUAGAAUAAUCUUUCGUUGUCAAAAAAAGACACCAAAACCUUCUCUAACCAAAUACUAAAAAUUACACUAUUUUAGUGCAAUACUAUAAUUUCACACCAAAUUUGGUGUGACAAUAUUCACUACGCUAAAAUACUAUUCACUUAUUUUAUUAAUAUAAUAGAAAAUUAAAUAAAUGACAAAUAUAAAAUAUUUAUAAAAUAGUUUUAGUGUAAAGUUUGGUGUUGUGGUUGUAGAAUAAAAAAAAAUUAGUGUUAAAAUUACACUAAAAUAGUGUAAUUUUGACACUAAAAUAGUGUUAUGGGUCGAAGAUGCCCUAGACGUAAUCGGUGUCUCCAUUUUCCAAGAAGCUGCAGGCUAAAUCAGAAUGCUUAUUGGGUCUGUUAAUUAAUAUAAAAAAAUAAAGUUGUCCCCAGCAAUUUCCAUGAGGUCCAUUACGCUUAAAAUUAAGUCAUAGGUUAACAAAUCUAGAGAUGUUACGUACAGAGCAAGGAACUCGAAACCAAAAAAGUGUUCUGUCAUCAGCCAGCCCUCGGAGAACGAAACACAAACCUUUGGUAUCAAGAAGAAGUUCUCCACUGAAGCUCAAUUUGAAUCCGACCAUUCUUGGAAUCAAUCAGAUGAUACUUAUCGUUGAUUCUCCUAUUACUCACAACAUCACCAAGAUUUAUCACCACAUAUCCAAGAGUUUCCUGAUAUAGAGAAAAAGAAAACACUCAGUCAAGUUCUUGUUCUUGCUGGAACAUCUUCAGAUCGAUUAUAAAGAUCUUGUAUUAUACCUUAGGAUGCAUAUUUAAACCUAUUCGUGAAGUAGUACUGAUGACUUCAACGUGUAGCUUAUCGUUUAUGGGAGGCUCAUCUAAUGGAAAUUGAAAAUCUUCAUCCCAUCGUGGCUCUCUGUUUUUCUUCACACGCUGCAUAUCAAACCAAAUAUAUAUCAAAAACCUAGGGUCGGAUUUGAGAAUUAAAGGGCCAAAAACAUUUUUAGAUUCAUCUUAAUAUUUUUUUUUUACAAUUUGGGUACCAUGUCAAUCUGUAUAUAAGCUUUUAAAAAUUUUGGGGCCAAAACGAAUGUUUCAUCCUAAUGUGCCUAGAACGAGCCAUGCAAAAUCCGUAAAAUUAAUGUUCUUUGCAGUUUUUGAUUUUGAGUUUAAAAGUUUCUUUUGGUACCUUUGUUUUACGCUCUUCUCCUUUGAACAUCAAACGAACAGAAGGGUUUGUGUGAUAUUUUCCUUCUAAAUCUUCAGCUUCAUGAACAAUAACCACAAGUAACCCACCACCAG